GACGAACCGUGCGAACGUUAUUCGGAAUCACUGGGCUUAAAGCGUGUGUAGGCGGCUUCGCAAGUUGGAUGUGAAAUCCCACGGCUCAACCGUGGACGUGCAUCCAAAACUGCGUCGCUAGAGUCUCGGAGAGGAAGGUGGAAUGCUUGGUGUAGAGGUGAAAUUCGUAGAUAUCAAGCAGAACACCUGCGGCGAAGGCGGCCUUCUGGACGAUGACUGACGCUGAGACACGAAAGCGUGGGGAGCAAACAGG
rnacentral:rRNA from 1 species